CCAGGAGGAGCCAGGAGUUGCAGCUGCCAGCUCCUCCGCCCGGAUCCUUUCCCAGCGCCAGGUGGAGCCCUGUCCCCGGAUCUCGCCGGGCCCCGCACUCCUGGACCCCGGCGGCUGGGAGGCAGCUGUGCCCGUUCCACUCGGCCCUGGCAGCAGCGGCUCAGGGAAGGCGAAGCCUCCUCACCCCGGACCUAGUGGCCGCAGAGAGCACGGCUUCCCCACUGCGCCCGCCCGCCCGCCGCGUCCCUGGGUCAGGACCUGAGCAGACCUCCCUGGCGCCGCCGUGAAGGCUCCGUCCUUGUCUCUUAGGAAGCCUGGAAAACGCAUCCUUGCCAGGUGGGGCGCUGCAACAGAAAGACUCCUAGCUGAGACAACUGUUUAAAGUAAAUGAGGAAAGCAAGCACACUACUUCGAUCCUGAAAACAGCCAUGGAAAAAGACAAAUGGAAAUCCUAGUCCUGGCAGCCAGCAGUUUCCUGAGCACCCACUGCCUUAAAUUGCAAGGGCUUAAGGGCCUUCGGCUAAGCUGUGUGGACAUUGUGUGUUACAGGUUCUCCUUUUACAGAAUGAAGAUCAAGGUGGAUAAAAGGAAGACAGAAAUAGGUUCACAAAGGUCUAUCUGACCAGAAACUAAUACCCACGGUUUGUAAAGAACUCCUACAGUUCAGGAAAAUGUAAACCACUCAAUACAAAGUGGACCCAGAUGUUGAGCAGACGUUCCCCUAAGAAUGCCUGCUGAUUGCCAAGAAGCAUAUGAAGAGUCCUGACACCAUCAGUCACUGGGAAAUGCCGAUGGACGCCACAAUGGGGUGUCAGAGGCGCCCCCAAAAGGGUGAGGAUCCAAGAGACUGACCGCACCACAUGUUGGCAAGAACAGGGAGGACCUAGAACUUGGCCACCAUGCCGGUGGUGCAGUAGUGUGAAACACCAUUAUCACACUGGGAAGCAGCCCUAGUAGUGUCUCAUGAUACUAAGUACACAGAUUCUGUGACCAAGUGAUCCCACUCUGAAGAUGAUCGAUCCCUCUGUCCACAGAAUACUGUUCUACAAUGCUCCAGCAGCUCUGCUCGUCGUGGCCCAGAGCUGGAAACCGCUCAAUUGUUCAUCAAGAGAUGAAUGGACAGACCGACCGAUUAAAAUAAAUUUAAUCGGGCUGGGGAUUUAGCUCAGUGGUUCCUCCACCUGCCUUGCAAGCACAAGGUCCCAAGUUCGAUCCCUGGUAGCAAAAAAAAAAAAAAAUUAAAAAAAAAUUUUUUAAAUAAAAUAAAUUUAAUCUAGUAAGAAAAAAUUAAGUUUUUAUGAUGAAUAAAGAUGAUGAUAACAAUUGAUAAAUGUUAAGGCAACAGGAAAAGAGGGAUUUGGCCAUAAGAAUGAGGUUAGUAACACUCACUGUGCUCCUGAUUCCCAAAGGUGUGCCUGGAUUUUAUGAAAGAUAUUAAAUUUAAUAAAGGUGUUAAAAAUGUGGACACUGA